rnacentral:lncRNA from 1 species
CAUGUCAAACCUAAAGGCCUUCGGAACCAAGACUCUUGGAACUGGAACUACCUAUCUAUGGAAAUUCCUACUGACAUCAAACUCAAAGCUUCUACCUAAGGCUCAACCAUUCUAUACCUGAUAUUCCCUACUGGACCCUCAACUAUAAUGGUUUAUUCUUAACCAAAUCGGCGCACCAACUCCUGCAUACUCAUCAACCUUCGGCUAUCUAUGAGUUUGAUUGGAUAUGGACCCUCAAUACUCUUCCCAAAAUCAAAAUGUUUCUCUGGUUAUGCUCCCACAAUAAAGUUGCUUCAAAUGCUCAUCAUUAUCAUCUAGGGUUACUACUGCGAGAUGUGCCAUUUGUAAUGGCGUGAUAGAAAAAUUAACUCAUAUCCUAUUUGAUUGUCCGCGAAUCAGAAAACAUUGUUUAGAUAUGGGUUUGAAUAUGAACAAUCAUAUUAACACCUCUACCCACGGGCUCUCUAAUAUUAACAAUCUUAAGAUUCCUCUUCGAAAUUCAAAUGUCUCUUGGCAUGUUUUUUACCCUUUUGCAUUAUUAAACUUAUGGAUUUACAGAAACCAAAUGAUUUUUAAUAAGGCCCGCCACCAGUAAAGCCUCUCUCUUACAACUACAUCCUAAUGCGGCCUUUUGAAUAUUUGUACACUGCUACUACUAUCCUCAAACAACUGAUAAAAUAGUUGUUCCCAUCCUAUGAUUUCCCCCUGCUAACGGCCUCAAACUUAAUAUAGACGGGGUGUUUUUACUUCAAACUCUCACUGCUAGACUAGGCGGAGUCAUCCGAAACUCUAACGUACAAGGUUUUUAUAUGAAAACUACCUCCCUAAAUUCCCCCAUGGCUGAACUCCAAGCUUUAGUCCAGGACCUUUACUUGGCAAAAGCCAAAAAACUCACCCAAGUGGAAAUUGAAACAGACUAAACUGACUUAAUUCAUCAACUUCACCAUGCUUCCCCAUUUUAUACUGAUCUUGUGCUCUCUUGCAGGUUAAUGUUGAAGGAAUUGGAGAAUUCGCUGGUCCGACAUAAUUUCCAAUAGGGUAAUAUGAUGGCAGAUGUUUUGGCUAAGACAGGUUGCAAUAUCAUCACACCUAUUAGUAUUAAUCCUCGUAUUUUGGAUGCACCACUGGAAAACCAUAUCAAGGUUUUGGAAGCGGAUGCUUCAGAAGCAGUCUCCACUAAAUUUGUAUCUGCAGCUGCUUGUAAUAUUUUAGCAACCUUAGCAUAAUCAAUGUAAAUAAUGUUAGAACUACUUUAGAUGCUGCUACUCCUAGUACUAGUUUAGAUGCUAAUGCUAUGGCUUAUGGCCCUGUACAACAGGUUACUGCCUCUACUAUUGUAAAUCUCUAAAUUUGUGAUAUAUAUAUAAAAAAAAAUGUAUAUGUAUAUUAUCAUCCCUAUUACCAAAAAAAAAUCUCUCCCUGCUAAAUUAAAGAAUGUUAUAAUAUUUAUAUCACCUUAGUUCUUGUUUAGAUUAAUACAAACAUUCCUAUAGUACUUUCUCCGUUUCUUUAUUCACUUUUCAAGAGUCAAUUUAACUAGUUUUCAAAACUAAAUUGAAUUGAAUUAAUUCAAUUUAGAUAUUUAUAAACUACACAAAAAGCACUACGAUUUAUAGUUCAUCUCAUAUCAAUAUAGUGAGAAAAUAUAUCCUAGAAAAUAUUAAUUAAAGUUUAUGUAAUUUGAUUCUUAAAGAGUGAAACGUGAUAACUAUUUAUUAUUUUAUUUAAAGUAGGUCACUUCCACCCCUACAUAUUAUGAAAAUUUUAUGCUUACGCUUCCAAUGAGAUAAUAUCUAUAACUAAGUAUUUCAAACUUAGACAAAAUCAAAAUUGUAAAUAAAAAGACAAAUAUUUUCGAUAAAAUUUUUAUCCAUAUAAUUUUUAAAAAGUGUUUUUUUUUAAUAUGUAACUUUUAAAACUCAUAAAUAAAAAUGGGUACAAUUACUUAAUAAGUCCAAAACUAUUUAAACCUUAUACAUAAUAGAAAUCUCAAACAAAUCAGAUAAAAUAUGUCAUUUACUUUAAUGUUUCAAUAGGCCUUAAAACUCCAUAUAUUUUUUACUUGAUAUUAAUAGGUAUAAUUAAAAGAGAUGACAUUUUAUGUAGCUUAAAUUCCCAUGUAAUCAAGCUUUUCUAAUAGUGUAAUAUGCAAUAGACAUGUAACCUAUACAUGCAAUUUACAAGAAAGUUUAAAUACUCCGUAGGCCUUUUAGGGAGAAACAAAAAGGAGAUCUAUUGGGAGCGUUGCCACCUUAAUGGGCCCUACAAUACGCGAUCUGGAUUAGUCGGGGCUCCAAUGCAGGCAUCAAACACCGGGUGAGAAACCAAAAAAAAAAAAAGAUUUAUACAGCUACAAGACUAUGACCACGCCAAGUAACUAUAUCUGAAAAUAAACAAACAAAUAAAAGAUUCAACACUAACCAUAAAACAUAGAUCAUACCCUUACCUUUGGGAUAGAGUUCAAUACUGAAGAAUAUUUUGAAAACAAAUUAGGAUUCUAAUAAUCCAUCGCUUACACCUACAUUAAGAAUUCACUUAAAAAUAGUUGAAAAGAAAAAAGAUAAAAUCAAUGAUUUUUUCAACUAUUUCCUUCGAUAGUAACAUACUUGUUAUACAAUUUUUCGAUCAAUUUUCACCUGAAAGAGAAACAUGAGAAAUUAUAAAAAAAAAAAAAAAGAAAGAAAGAAUACAUUGAAAAUUAUUGAUUACAUAUAGUUUAUAUAUAUAACUUUUAAUUGAAUUGACAAAAACAAAAGAGAUUGAUGAUGAUAAUGUUGGAUGUAAGACCUUGAAUCAAAGCCAAAGAAGAAUAGUGAAAUUAUGAUUUUUUUUUAAGUGACCUAAUAAUAUAAAAUACAUUUACAUUAUUUGUGUGUAAACAUAAACUUAAUAUAUAUAUAUAUAUAUAUAAACUUUAAGCUGACAAACUAAUUUUAAAAUUUCAUGAGUCUAGCUAGUUUAACAUUUUAUUCGGUAUGCUAUAGAGAUAUAUAUUUUACAUGAACUCUAAUUGUUGGUUUAUUAGUAACGAAUAAUGAUUGAAAAGUUUUUAAUGGAUUAUAAGUCUUAAUUAAAAGAGACUAAUCGCGAACAACUUAUGAUUGUCUUUCGCAUACAUGAGAAACAUUGUGAAACAAAUCGAUGAGGUUAGUGAUCCAAACUAGGGACAUUACAACAAUUUAUGAUAUAAUUUCCAGGCUGAUGAUUAGGCCAUCAACUUGAAACACAGUGUCUGAGUGUCUAUGAUCGAGAUGCAAGCAAAGGAACAACUUGCACUCUUAUUGAAUUCCUGCAGUACAUCAAAUGGAAGCGAAGACUCCUCAUCCUAAGCUUGUGUCUCAAUAUGCUACCUAAAAUAUAAAUUCAGGGAAAAAAUGUAUCCACUUUUGUUCGUUCUAGAACAACUUUUCACUUUAAGAAUCAUAAUCAGAGAAGACUCCACACUUUUAUAACAAGCAAGACAUUCAAGCUAGCACUACAAUGACUACAUAGAAGGCAAGUUUUUACACUACGCAUGUUACAUACACGAGUGAAAGCUCAAGAAUACUACUUCAAAAUAUCCUAGCGUCAAGAAUUGACACACCAAGUUGGCAGGUUCAUGCAUAUUACUUAAUCGAAGAGAUCACACAAAUCACUAAACUAUCAUCAAACAUGUGCCCUCACCACAAGAGAGUUACCCAUAAUCACUCACGUAGAUGCAAUUUAUUACAAACUGGGUAUAAGAAUUAAUUUACGCUCACAAAGAAUUCACAAAUUAUACAAGAUGAACCAUAGGUUUGUCCUUAGUAUAGUACUCCACUAAUAUCAGAAUGUAAAAACUCAGGAUCAAGUAGGUCUUUGAGGGUUGGAAUGUAGGUUAAGGGAUGGGUAGGAUCUAUUCUGGCCAAAGAUAGUGACUAUCUUCCCUAAGCGCUUUAAAACAUCACACUUUUCAUUCAAUCCACUUCUAACAACAACUUUCACCACUUCUAUAUACACACCUCUUUUGUUUGGUCACUAAGCACUUUAAUACAUCACAUUUUUCAUUCAAUUCACUUCUAAUAAACAACUUUCACCACUUCUUGUUGGUGAAAUUACAAUAAACUUACAACUGAAAAUUACAAGUAAGGAAAAUAAAAAGAAUAUCUUUUUCUUCGGCUGAGGCGCGGAUAUCUCGCUCUCUUUAAGGAGAUUCAAGCCUACUGUAAUAAAUGUUUCACCGGUCUAGCAGUAAUCUUCUUGACUUGUCCCCUUCAGGAUACAACAGCCUUUCUCACAAAGAACAACUCAACAACUCUUAGACAAGAGUUGAGUUCAAAGAUCCACAAAAAGAACACCUCCCUUCAACUAAUGAACUCUUUUUUUUACUAUCUUUUGUGUAUGUGUACCAAAAACAUGCAAGACUACCUAUAUUAAUAGGUGAGAAAUCUUCCAUGCAAAGAAUAAGAAUGAAUGUAGGGUAGUAAAGAUAGAAUAUCAAUGGCUUAGAGGUUACAAGAGCUACAUGAGUUACACCACAUAAAGAAUAGGGUAAUGGUGGAAUUAAGAAUGAAAGUUACAAGAGUUACAUGAAACUUAUGUCCAUAUUCUACCACCACUAACUAUUGGCAUAAAACACAAGGAAGUAAAGAGGGAGUAAUCCUCUUGGAUGUUUUUGGGGGCUGAUUAUCAGCCAUGCAAACAUAUGUGGAUUACUGCCAAAUAAAGGUGAUUAACUCUUUCAAGAUUAAUAGGCAAUUGAAGUGAGAGUUGCUACCAAGAAUGUAACUUAAGUCAUCCAACCACUAACGUCCAACAUUAAGACUUUUGAUACAAAUGAGACAAAUUAAUAAAAAUAUUAAAAUGCUAAAAAAAAUAUCAAAACCCCACUCAUUUUAAUAUUAACAAGAGAGUCCACUAGUUGAAGGAAUACUAUUAUCUAUAAUGAAGGUGUGCUCUGCAUUGAACCUCCACUUAGUAACAUAAUAAUUUUUACUCUAGAGUUGUAGUGGUCUCAGACUUGAACUAUGAAUACUUAUGGGAAAAUAAAAAGUUACUGUUUACACAUAAUAGUCAAGGUGUUGACAUGAGUUUUAUAGCCAGCACAUUGCGGCCUUGUGCUAUUUCGAUUUCAUGAGUGUCUUUGAGAAUGAGCCCAAUUCUCAUAGGAAGCUGCCUACCUCCACACUCACAUAGGUAAAAUUCGUCGAGAGUACUCCUGUAAUUUAGCACCCCACUCAUACGAGCUACAGAUUUUCAUUAAGAGUUUUUUUAAACUCAACCUCACCCACAUUACAGGUUAAUACACUCACACCAUAGGGAGGGAUAAAAAGUAGUGCAUUUUUCAUAAUAAGCCAUCAUGUGAUUCGUUUUUCCAAUUGAACCUGGUUAUAGGAUCUCUAGUCCCAGGUUGGGUGUCCUCACAUAUGACUCAAGAUUCAAUAGGCUUCAAUCUCAUCUUCCUCGAUGUCCUCCAUACAUUUUUUCUUGCUAAGGCCUUAGUCAAUGGAUCUAUAAGAUUAUCACAAAAUUUGACAUAAUCAACAUUAAUGGUGUCAUUUAUCAAAUAUGAUCUCACAUUACUAUGUUUUCUCCUUAUUGGUCUGGAUUUACUGUUGUAAUAACGGUUUUAAACUCUACCAAUUAUAGCGGUACUAUCACAAUGAAUUAAAAUAGGAGGAAUUACCUUUUCAAAAUAAGGUAUUUGAAAUAACAAAUCUCUCAACGAAUUUGCUUCCUCACUAGCUGAAGCUAAAGCACUUAGUUCAGUCUCCAUGGUAGAGUUAGCAAUAAUUGUUUGCUUUUUAGACUUUCAACAAAUAGCAGCACCACCUAAAGUAAAAAUAUAACCAGUAGUGGAUAAGGAAUCACCUAAUAAAGUGCUCCAACCCAUACCACAAAAGCCUUCAAGUAUAGCAGGAUAUUUUUUAAAGAACAAACUAUAAUUUUUUGUUCCAAUUAAAUAUCUCAUUACUCUCGUUAUAGCAUGCCAAUUCAUUACCUGUCUUGUUAGUAAACAUGUGAUAACGUUCAAACUACACCUCUCUAAUGAGAAUAUAAGCGAUCUUUGUCAAUAUAAAAUCCAAAUAGGUUGGGGUCAAAUCCCACAGGGAAUAUGGUGUGAACUCAAGUCAUUUGCGAUUUAAUCAACUGAUAGUUGAAUGUUUCCUGAAAUGGGGCUUUGAGUUUAACAAGUAAUUGUUGGUCAUUUUUCUUUCUGUGUUUGAAAUCAAGAGUUUAUGGAAUAAUCGGAAUUAUGUUCACUAGGGUUUUUGGUACUUGACAGAUGCUAAUAGCGGUUCAAGAUUCUCACAGUAGGUAGGACAACAAGUUAUCUUUAUUUGAAAUUACGCCUAAAAGUCUCUCGACCUACUUAAGCAUUUAAUUACCUAAUUCUCUUGAACUUAGGGAAUUUAUGCUCACAGACCAGAUUUUACCUCAGGUUAAUCAACCUUGUUAUAAUGUCAAUUAUUAAAUGGAAGGUUGGUGGCUUCCAAGUCCCUAUUGAUAAUUCUCUUCCUACUGUAUUUGAUUUCUUUCUCAAGCAAAUCAAAGCAGGUGUUAUCUAUUAUUUGCAACUAAUAGAAAAUAAUGAAAACCUCAGAAUUAUCAAGAAGUCCUACAACCUUGUGAAUCUUGAACACUUAGCACCUUAUCAAGACUUAACCCUAGAUCCCAUAAUUCAGGCUAAAAAAAUUUAGCCGCUCAUGAUGUAAUAAUCAAAACAACUAGUUGUAUUCAUGAUUCGAAAGAUAAACUUACCACAAGAUGAAUAGAAACUAGAACAUCUCAGAUUAGAUCACAAUAGAAAUCCCAAAAUAAUGAUUAAAAUCUCUUCAAAGUAAUUGUUUUUUCAAGCCAAGAAACUAGAGAGAGAAAAUAUCAAAAUAUGUCUCAAAAACUCAAGUGCGGAACUCCUAGAAAAACCCUAAACAAUGCUUUAAAUAGUUAAGCCUAAAUAAGGAAACAAAAUUACAGAGUUUAAUAAUCCAUCGAAUUAGGCAAUGAUAUUCAUGACAGUCUAUCAAGAGGCUGGCGACUUAUCACAAAUGUCGUCAGAUUCCUCUUUGCUUUGGACACUCGCUGCCUAAUGCUGACGAUAAACGGUGAUGCCCUAUCAGCUUCUUGACGACUUAUCACAAAUGUCGUCAAGGUUUUACCUCAGCUCUCAUAUUCUGCCUUAGGCUGACGGCAAUCUUAAUGCCUUAUCAGCUCCUUGACGACUUAUCACAAAAUGUUAUCACAGUUUUAAACUUAGGCCAAUUCUCUAUUUACGGCUGACGAUGAACUUGACAGCUUAUCACGGGGCUGACGACAUAUCACAAUUGUCGUCAGCCAUACUUUGUCUCUAUUUACUUUAGAUUUCAGCUCAUUUGCUUCCAUUCUUGUUGGUUUUCUAGCAUCUUAGCUUCUACUGCAAAAGCAAACAUAAAACAAUCAAAAAUGACAAAAGUUGCUUAACACUUUGCAAUUUUUCUCAGUUAAAAGCCUCAAAUGUGUUAGUGUCUGCUCACAUAUCAACACCCUCAACUUAAAACAAUUGUUUGUCCUCAAGCAACCAAAACACAACUAAGAGAAUACAAUGCACAUUUGGCAAUUAAUCAUCCACAGUAUUUCAAAACACUCACACCGUCUCCAAGGUUAGUCAAUUCAAGAACAAUGAAGAACACCAAUGCAACACACAGGAAUUAAGAUACGGCAUUAAUUCAGCUAUAACAACCAUGCAUAGACCUGUAUUACACUCUCCAAAUAAGUUAGCAACUAGCAACAUAUUUGGUUCCCUCACAGCAAAGAGAUUCCCUAUUUCUCAAAUCAAUACAUAUAUGUAACCAUGGGGACAAUCAAAACACUCACUCUUAGAACGAAGUUCCAAUUAGUGUAUGCCAAGUAUCAUAGUCUUUCCCUUGUUUUCAUUAUCCAGACUUCGGAUAGGUCAGCUAGGAUCACUAUAGGUGUUCUCUUUGGCUUGUAACGCAGGUUAGGGGCUGGUAUGAUACUUGAUGGUAUUUAAAGUGACUAAGCCUCCUUGACACUACACUAGCUUUUUGGGGUUUCACUCAUUAGCCUUUUUCACUCUUUUCUUUUCUUGAUCACACUUAUUUAGGAUAGGAGCGGUCUUUUUCACAAUGACUUUAUUCUUUUCCACAAUUUUUCCCUUUCUUGCUCUUUUCUUUCGCACCCAGCUUUUUAUUCUACCUUUCUUCAUACUCAUUCUGUAUCACGCACUCCUAUGAUAUCCACCCUCAACUUAGGCUAUUUUCUUAAGUCAAGGUGCACAGUGUACAAGGAGGACCAGGGCCAAAACAGGUUUAUUAUGAUAUAAAAAGUGAAGGUGAUAGGUGUCAUAAAAAGAAACAGGCUAAUCAGGCUCAAAGCAUAGAUCAAGGGAUAUUCUACCUACCGGGAAGGUCAUUUAGGCUAAAGUGAGCUAAUAUCAAAACAGCCUAUGAUCCUUUCCUAACCCCUAUCCUUCAACCUAGGUAAGACUAACUGGGUAAGUUUUUGCUUCAGCAUACAGAGGGAACUAAGUAAUAACUUUCACACACUUGGCACACAGGUAUAUCACAAUCUACUACUCAUUCAGUUCAUGCAGCUGUUUAGCAAUAAUUAUUGUGUUACUAUAACUAAUGUCAUACAAAGAUGCACAGUGGUCGCACUGAAAUGCAAAUCACACAGUUAAAGAAGUAGACCACUUGAAGAGGUGUACAAAAAUCACAAAAACGAUUCAACUGCCUCAAGUACAUGUAUUUCUCCUAAUUGACUACAAACUUUUACAACAACAAUUUACCCUACACCCUCAACUUAAAAUCCAAGAAAAUCAAAACUAAGGGUUAGAUUAUACCUGGAAUAGCUUAAUCCUGGGGGUCAUGGGUUGCCUCCCAUGUAGCGCCUGAUUUAACAUCGUGGUACGACUCGGGUGUCUCCAUUACUUCAGACUUCAUUGAGACAGAUAGUAGUGAUACCUUUCAUUGGCUCCUUUGGACCAAUAUAAAGUUUGAUUCAUUGCCCAUUUACCUUGAAGGUGCUGCCAUCUUAAUUUUCAAGUUCUACUACUCCAGAUGAGUAGACUUGACUAACUCUAAAUGGGCCUAACCACUUAGAUUUAAGCUUACCUGGGAAUAGUUUGAGCCUAGAAUUGAAUAGAAGCACCAAGUCCCUCUUUUGGAAGUCUCGUUUCUCUAUCCUUCAAUCAUGAUACUUUUUCAUCUAUUCUUUAUAUAGAUCUACUCGUUUAUAUGCCCUGAGACAAAAUUUAUCCAUCUCAUUCAGUUGGCCCAGUCUCAGCUCUGUAUCCUCCUUCCAACUCAAAUUCAACCUUUUUAGUGCCUACAAGGCCAUGUGCUCCGGCUCUAUUGGUAGGUGGCAUGCUUUCCUAUAAACCAGCUGAAAUGGUGACAUGCCAAUAGGUGUCUUGAAAGCAGUCCGAUAUACCUACAAGGCAUCAUCGCGCUUUUGAGUCCAAUCUUUUCUAUUAGCAUUUACCAUUUUGGCUAGGAUAGCUUUAAUCUCUUAAUUUGACACCUCCACUUACCCACUAGUUUGUGGGUGAUAUGGAGUGGCUACUCUAUGCUGUUUCACCCCAUAUUUUGCUAACGCUGGUCGAAACACUUUGUUACAAAAAUGAGAUCUUUCAUCACUAUAAUAGUACGUGAUACUCCAAAGCGAGAGAAGAUAUUCUUCUUGAAAAAAGCACCAACCCUCUUUCUUUCAUUAUCAGUCAAGGCAACGGCUUCGACCCAUUUUGAGACGUAGUCAACAGCAACUAAAAUAUACUUUAUCCCAUACGAGCUCACAAAAGGACCCAUAAAAUUGAUGCCCCAUACGUCAAACAAUUCCACUUCAAGCAUUUUAGUCAAAGGCAUCUUAUGUCUUUUGAAGAUUGACCUCUACCUCUGACAUUGGUCGCAUUUUAGCACAAACUCAUGAGCAUCCUUGAACAAUGUUGGCCAAUAGUAGCCAUUUUACAACACCUUCCUAGCCGUUCGGUCACCUGCAUGGUGACCUCCAACUGAGAAAGCAUGAUAUGCUUCCAAUAUGCAUAAUACAUUCAUCUCUAGCACGCAUCUCCUUAUAAUAUUGUCAGCACAUCGACGAAAGAGAUACGACUCAUACCAAAAGUAAUAUAUCAUAUCAUGCAGGAACUUCUGCCUUUGAUGGAAAGAAAGAUUUUCUGGAAUGAUCUUACUCAUAACAUAAUUUGAAAAAUCAGCGUACCAAGGCAAUUUCUCCACAUCAGUAGCCAAGAUCUCCUCAUCAGGAAAUGCAUUAUUUAUCUCCAUUUCAUCACUAAUUGCCUGCUCACCUUCCAUUCUAGACAGAUGACCUACAACCUGGUUUUCACAACCUAAGUCAAAUUCUUCUAGCAACAAUACCCAUCUAAUCAGCCUUGGUUUUGUAUCCUUCUUAGCCAUCAAAUACCUCAAGGCUACAUGAUCAGUAUGGACCACCACCUUAGUCCCAAGAAGAUAAGCCCUGAAUUUCUCAAAAGCAUACACCAUAGCCAGAAGUUCCUGCUCAGUGAUAGUGUCCUCCACCAUAUCCGAGAAGAUAGACAUCAUGCACCAUUGAAAAGUAGCGGGUUCAUUACACAGCCCAAACGGUAUUCUCUUAAAUGUAAAGGUGUCAUAUGGGCAUAUAAAUGUCAUAUUUUCCUGAUCUUCAGGAGCAAUACAAAUUUGAUUAUAUCUAGAAUAGCCAUCUAAGAAGCAGUACCAUCCCCUUCCAGCCAAUCGAUCAAGUAUUUGGUCCAUAAAGAGCAUUAGGAAGUGGUCUUUCAAAGUCCAUGAGUUUAGUUUGCGGUAGUCCAUGCAAACUCUCCACCCAGUCACAGGCCUAAGUGGAAUCAGCUCAUUCUUGUCAUUUGUAACUACAGUCAUACCACCCUUUUUCGGCACGCAUUGAACUAGGCUUACCCAUUUGCUGUCUGAAACAGGGUAAACCACACCUGCAUCUAACCACUUAAUAAUUUCCUUCUUAACCACCUCUUGCAUUGGUGGGUUAAGAUGGCAUUGGUGCUCGAUAGUCAGAACAUAAUCUUCCUUAAGUUUUAUUUUAUGUGUGCAGAUACCAGGAGGAAUGCCAAUAAUAUCUGCGAUCGUCUAUCCGAUUGCUCUCUUAUACCUCUGAAGUACAGAAAUAAGUGUUUAUACCUGUUGCUUACCUAAAUCAGCCUCAAUAAUAGUGGGUAGCAUGUUUUCAUGGCCAUAAAACACGUACCUUAAAUCCCCAAGCAGUUCUUUUAAUUCCAACAAUGGUGGCUUUUUAGUGGAUGGCUUAGCCGGUGGUGUUGGUCGAUUAGCAAGAUCAAGGUCUAGCUUCUUCAGGGGAUAAGGGUAUGAACCCAUUCCUGCCAAAGAAAAAAUAGUUUUUUCAUACUCCUCAAUUCCUUCACUAUCAAAAUUCAUCAUAACUGCGGCUAAAGGAUCGACAACAAGUUUCUCAGCUAUUGACACCUCCUGUUCAUCCUCAUAAUACACAUCAACUACUGAGAACACACUCAUUUCUUCAUGCUACUUCAUUAAUUUGCACACAUCAAAUUGCACCACCUUAUUAUUCAUCCUGAAUAAGAGCUCAUUAGCUCUCAAAUCAAUCAACACACUUCUGGUCAUGAGGAAAGGUCGACCUAAGAUUAUGGUCACCUCAAAGUCCACCUCGCAAUCCAGAAUGACGAAAUCUGUAGGGAAUAUAAAGCUCCACCUUCACCAACACAUCAUACAAAACACCAAUGGGUUAUUUUACCAACCUAUUUGUCAUUACUAGUCACAUAUUGGUGGGUGUGGGAUUUCCAAGGCACAGCUUUCUAUAUACAGCCAGCGGCAUCAAAUUAAUGCUUGCUCCCAAGUCACAUAAUGCCUUAGCAAAUUCCAUGGACCCAAUAGUGCAUGAGAAGGUAAAUGCUCCCAGGUCUGUCUUUUUUUAUGCUAAAGACCUUGUGGAGAUAGCACCAUAAUGAUGGAUAUUGUCCUUCGGCUCAUGGCUAACCAUCUGUUUCUUUGUGACAAGGUCCUUCAUAAACUUCGCUCCUGGCAUUUGCUCAAGUGCCUCAACCAAUGGCACAUUCACCAUCAAUGAUUUUAGCAUUGCCAUGAAUUUGUUGAAUUUUGCAUCAUCAAGUUUUUUCUUCAACUAUUGAGGAAAGAGAGGUAGUGGUCUUGGGAUAGUUUUCAAAACUACCUCCUUCUCCUUAUCUUUUUCUUUCUUUGGAGCAUCAUCUGACUUAUCCAGCUUCUUAGACUCCACUGGACCUUCUUCUACCAGUUUAUCAUCGACUACUUCAUCAACUACAUGUUUGUCCACAGAAGGGCCAGAUAACAUCCUACCACUUCUAGAGGUAAUCACCAUACAUGAGCCAUCAUUCCGAGGAUUCUGGACUGUAUCACUUGGUAACGUUCCACUCUUCCUUUGGUUAAAUGAUGUGGAGAGUUGGCUCAUCGGCUGCUCUAACUAUUUGAUUGUGGUGGAGUGCGAGUUUAUCAACUGACUGAUGGAUGUCAGAUCGGUCUUCAUGGUGGUCACACCAAAGUUGGUAGCCUCCACUUCCUUCAAAAACUUAGCCAUCUUGUCCUCUAUGGACAUCUUUUCAGAACUUGUUUUAGUAGCCUCAUAAUUUCCAGUAGAAAUAUAUGGCCCGCUCCUAUCAUUGUUAUUCCUCCAAUCUCCCUGCUCUUUAUCUUUAUAGCCAGGCUUAUCAUAAAAGUUCCUACCUUGGUUCCCUUGGCUAUUGCCUCGGAAAACCCCCUGAUUAUUAAUAUAGUUCACCUCUUUUUUUGUAUCAGCAUCAACUCUAUCCUGAGAUCCUAUAGCUUUCACCUUCUCAGUCUUACCUGAUAACAAGUACUUGGUUAGCAAGUCCAUUUUCAUUUUAAGGUGAGGUAUGUCUUGGUCAUGCUCCUCAUAUCUUCUGCACUGUUCCGCAGUAAUACCUACAAAAACAGUGGGGCUAUCCACCACAGAGUCUCUGGUAUGCCAUGCCCGACUCUAUUUGGUCAUCCUUUCUAGCAUCUCUGAAGCCUCUGGAAAUGUAGGAUCAACAAACGAACCACCACCAGCAUUGUCUACAAUUGGCUUAGUAACAGAGUUAAGAGCCCUGUACAAAGUCUUCAUCAAGUGUAUGCCCGUCAUAUUGUGGUUCGGACACUGUGUCAGCUUCUUCUUGAAUCUCUCCCAGGUUUCAUGCAAAGCUUCAGUUGGGAGCUGCCUAAAGUUUUUGAUCUCAUCCCUCAACUGUACCCUCCUGGAAGGCGGAAAGAACCUUUUUAGGAAAGCUCAUUUUAACUACCUCCAGUUAGUUAUAGAAUCGGGUGUCAGCUCAUUCAGCCACAAUGUUGCCUCCCCAUACAGGGACAACGAAAACAAUCUCAACCGAAUAGUAUUCUGGCCCACUCCUGGGUUAUCAAAAGAUUUACAAAUGGUGACAAAAUUCACCAGAUGCAAGUUUGGGUCAUCCCUAGGAAGGCCACCAAAAAACCCCUUCAGAUUGAGGAGUUAGAUUAUAGUACUCGUAAUGUUGAAUUUUGCCCCAGGUGCCAACGGUGGAGGAAUUAUUGCACCCGUUUCACCUGCUCCAUCCAUUCCAUCAUUAUCAGCAUUUAGGUCGUACUGGAUCAGCUGGUAGUCUUGCCUUCUUUGGAAUGGACGGUUCCUAUUAAAAUUACGUUGUAGUGGUGCAGCUACUUGCUCUGUACGCCUUGGGUUACCAGGAUUCAAAAACUCCUCGUCUCCCAAAUAUUCAUCCUCAUGAUUUGGAUGUCGUGCUUGUUGACCGAUAUUCUGCAUAUUCACCUGAGCUCUAGCUAUGGCUGCUAAUCUGUCAGCCUCUUGUUGUUCUUCCAUUCUUCCAAUUCAUUGCGGUUCUGGAUUAAGAGGUAAUAAUGGUUCUUCAGAACUUCUGGUUCUUGGCAUACACUAUAAAUAUCCUGCAAUAAACAAAAACAACAAAUAAACGUAAAUCUAGGAAAUUUGACUAACAGUCAAUUAGCGUACACAAACUUUAAUUUACAAUCAUAUUCCCCAGCAACGACGCUAUUUUUUAUAAUGCUCAAACUACACCUCUCUAAUGAGAAUAUAAGUAGUCGUUGUCAAUAUAAAACCCAACUAGGUUGGGGUCAAAUCCCACAGGGAAUAUAGUGUGAACUCAAGUCGUUUGCUAUUUAAUCAACUAAUAGUUGAAUGUUUCCUGAAAUGGGGGUUUGAGUUUAAUAAGUAAUUUUUGGUCACUUUGUUUUCAGUGUUUGUAAUCAAGAGUUUAUGGAAUAAUCGAAAUUAUGUUCACUAGGGUUUUUGGUACUUGACAGAUGCUAAUAGUUGUUCAAGAUUCUCGCAGUAGGUAGGACAACAAGUUAUCUUUAUCGAAAUUACGUCUAAAUGUAUCUCGACCUACUUAAGCAUUUAAUUACCUAAUUCUCUCAGACUUAGGGAAUUUAUGUUCCCAGACCAGAUUUUACCUCAGGUUAAUCAACCUUGUUACAGCGCCAAUUAUUAAAUGGAAGGUUGGUGGCUUCCAAGUCCUUGUUGAUAAUUCACUUCCUACUGUAUUUGAUUUGAUUCCUAGAAUAAAAUUUGCCUCACCAAGAUCUUUCAUAUCAAAAUGGCUUCUAAGAAUAUUUUUAGUUUCACUAAUAACAUUCAUGUUAGAGACAAAGAUCAAUAAAUCAUGAACAUAUAAGCAAAUAAUAACAUGCGAAUUAUUCCAAGACUUAUGAUAUAUGCAUUUGUCACACUUAUUUAUUUUAAGUCCAUUAUCAAUCAUGCAGGAAUCAAACUUUUUAUGCCAUUGCUUUGGUGCUUGUUUUAAGCCAUAUAAGAAUUUAUUAAGUUUACACACUUUGCUUUCUUUUCCAGCUUCAACAAAACACUCGGGUUGUUCCAUAUAAAUCUCCUCGUUUAGGUCUCCAUUUAAAAAAGCAGUUUUUAUAUCCAUUUGAUGAAUUUGUAAAUCAAAAAUUGCCGUAAUAGCAACUAAAAUUCUAAUGGAUCUAAUUCUAGUUAUCGGAGAAAAAAUAUCAAAAAAUUCUAGGCCUUCUACUUAUUUAAAACCUUUAGUCACUAGCCUAGCUUUGUAUUUAUCAACAGAUCCAUCCGAUUUUAACUUUUUACGUAAGACCCAUUUACAUCCAAUUGUUUUGCAACCCGGUGGUAAAUCAACUAGCUUCCAAGUCUUAUUGAAAAUUAGUGAUUCCAUUUCAUCAUUUACAGCCUCUUUCCAAAAAAUAAUAAUUAGGGUCAUCUCCAACCAAAAUCUUUUUCUACUCUGGCUCGUUUACUUCUUCUUAACUCAAAAUCAUCAUUUUCUUUAUUUUAUAAAGUAGAAGUAAAAGAACUAGGUAGGGACAAAAUAUUUUCUUUAGUUCUUAGACCCCCACUAUUUUUAGAAUCAAAAGCGAAUUUAUUUUCAUGAAAAAUAGCUUCACGUGAUUCUAUUAUCACACUAUCUUCAAGAUUAAAAAAUCAAUAGCCGUACUAUUUGAAGCAUAACCAAGAAAAUCACAAGUAGUAACUUUUUUACCCAACUUAGAGAUUUAGGAUCCAUUAACCUUACAUAGGCUAAGCAACCCCAAACUCUUAAAUAUCCCAAAUUUGGCUUAUGACCUUUCCACAACUCAAAAUAUGUUCGUUUGGUCUUUUUAUAAGGCACACGAUUCAACACAUAAAAAACAGUCAAAAUAGCUUCACCCCAAAAACUUGAAGGUGCACAAGACUCAAUUAACAUGGCAUUAGUUAACUUAACCAAAGUUCUAUUCUUCCUUUCCUCUACACUAUUAGAUGUAGGAGAAUAAGGAGGAGGAGUUUCAUGAAUUAUAUCCAAUGAUCUAACAAGAGAAUUGAAAUCAUGUGACUCAUAUUCAUGGCCUCUAUCACUUCUUAUUCUUUUUAUUUUUCUAUUAAACUGAUUUUCAACUUCAUGGAGAAAAGUUUUAAAAUUCUCAAAUGCAUCGCUUUUAUUUUUUAUUAAGUAAACAUAUGCAAACUUAGAAAAAUCAUCAAUGAAAGUGAUAAAAUAUCUAUUUCCUCCAAGAGUUAAAAUUCCACCAAGUUCACAAACAUCAGUAUGUACUAGUUCUAAUAAUUCAGUUUUUCUUUCAACUUGAAAAUAAGGCCUUUUUAUGAUUUUGACUUUACUACAAGCCUCACAUUUUUCAAAGUUUUUUUAUCACUGGAAUUAUUCCUAAACUACUCAUAAUUCCCACAUAAUGAUCAUUUAUAUAACACAAACGAGCAUGCCAAAAAUUAAUAAAAGAAAGCAUAUAAACAGAAGUAGAUGUUUUAUUCAUUUAAACAUUCAACUUGAACAUACCAUCACAUGCAUACCCCUUUCCCACAAAUAUAUUAUUUUUAACAAUUACAUACUGAUCAGAUUCAAUAAUCUGUUUGAAGCCUGUUUUAUUAAGAAAAAAAUUAGACAUCAAUUUUUUUCUCACAGAAGGAGUAUAAAGUACAUAUUUUAAGAUUAAUACCCUUCCAGAAGUAAAUCUCAACUCGACAUCUCCCAUUCCAAGUACUUGAGUUGUGUGUGAAUCUCCAAGCAUGAUGAUUUUAGGCUCCUCAAAAUUUGUAUAUUUUUUAAACUAGUCUUUGUCAUAACAGACAUGACGGUUUGCAAAAAAGUCAGCCCACCAUCCAUUAAUAUUUGUCAUCAUGUUAAUGUCUGUUAUCACUGCCACAAAUAGUUCUUCAGUAAAGUUUGCUGAGGUAUAGUCCCACAUUUUCAAAAUUUGAAAAAUCUAGCAAUAUACCCACUCUUGCACAGACAAAGCACGGGUUUUUUGUUGUACAUGUUAAUUUUUUUCUUGGUUGUUUUCAUCAUUAUUGUCCUUGGAAUAUCUGCCCUCAUUUUUCUUGAUUUUUUUCUUUUUAGACUUCAAUGUAGUAUUUUUGUUCGUUUUAGGAGUAGCAUUAUUUAAAGAAGUUAAAUUUACCUUCGGUAUGAUGUUGUUCUCUUCUGUUUGCAAAACUGCAUCUUGGCCUCUUUCUUCUUCUUGCGUGCGGAUUGUCAUUAUCAAAGUCUCAAGAGAAGUUUCCUCUUAUUUGUGGCUCAUACUUUUUUGAAAUUUCUUCCACGAAGGUGGAAGUUUAUCAUUUAUGCCACAAAUAAUAAGGCUAUCUCCAAUUUUGACUUCCUCGGACCUGAGCUCGCCAACAAUAAUUAUGAAGUCUUGAGCUUAGUCUACCACUGAUUUGUUGUCCACCAUUUGAAAAUAAAAAAAUAUGCUAGCCGUAUAUUUUUUUGCUUCAUUCUCCUCAAUGUCAUACUUACUCUGCAAGGCUUUCCAAAUUUUCUUUGCACUAGAGUAAGUUAUACCAUAAUAAACAUAAAAAUUAUCAGAUAGACAAUUAAGGAAAAAGUAUCUGCACUUGUAGGAGUCGCCAUCGUAUUUUUCAACUUUCUCUUGAAGAGAAAUGAGUUCUUUAUCACUCAUGGAAGAGUUAUCUACUUUUUUUUAGUUCUUCUCAGUUAACACAUAAGAAAUAUUGAGAAGACUUAAGUAGAAAAGCACUUUACCCUUCCACAUUUUAAAGUGAGUAUCGUUAAACCAGAAUGGCUUGUUGAUAUCUCCCAACUUGACAUCCGUGGAUUUUUCAGUUGUUGCCAUUGAAUCUACUUAAAUUUUUGGUGAAAUUGCAAUAAACUUACAACUGAAAAUUACAAGUGAAGAAAAUAAAAAGAAUAUCUUCUUCUUCAGCUGAGGCGCGGAUAUCUCGCUCUCUUUAAGGAGAUUCAAUCCCCCUGCAGCAAAUGUUUCACCGUUCCAACAAUAAUCUUCUUGACUUGUCCCUCCGCCCCCCUCCUCUCUCCCUCGCCCCCAGGAUACAAUAGCCUUUCUUACAAAGAACAACUCAACAACUAUGGACAAGAGUUGAGUUCAAAGCUCCACAAAAAGAACACCUCCCUUCAACUAGUGAACUCUCUUUUUUACUAUCUUUUGUGAACUCUAUAUUAUCUUGUGGGUAUAUGUACCAAAACCAUGCAAAACUACCUCUAUUUAUAGGUGAGAAAUCUUUCAUGAAAUGAAUAAGAAUGAAUGCGGGAUCGUAAUGAUAGAAUAUCAAUAGCUUAGAGUUUACAAUAGUUACAUGAGUUACACCACAUAAAGAAUAGGGUAAUGGUGCAAUUAAGAAUGAAAGUUAAAAAAGUUAAAUGAAACUUAUGUCCACAUUCUACCACCACUAACUAUUGUCAUAAAACACAAGGAAGUAAAUAGGGAGUAAUGCUCUUGGACCUUUUUUGGAGGCUGAAUUAUCAGUCAUGCAAAUGUAUGUGGAUUACUGCCAAAUAAAGGUCAUUAACUCUUUCAAGAUUAAUAGGCAAUUGAAGUGACAGUUACUGCCAAGAAUGUAACUUAAUCCAUGCAACCACUAACGUCAAACAUUAAGACUUUUAAUACAAAUGAGACAAAUUAAUAAAAAUAUUAAAAUGCUCAAAAAACUAUCACUUUUAUAUACACACCUCUUUUGUUUUACCCUAUCUCAUUAAGCUCACUCACAUAACAAUAUGGAAGAGAGUUUUGUCUAUUAAUUUAUGAUUUAAUUUUUAGCACAAAUUUUUUCACUCCCAACCACAACACAUCAAUUGUACACACCAAUAACUAUUACUUUGGGGCUUCAAUUUCACUUUUCUCCUUCCUAUUUUUUUUUUCACAUGCCUUAACUCAUUAAAUUUUCACCUAAGCGCUAGGAGAUUUGGAUCAAAUUAAGAUCAAACAAAGAAGGGAUUAAGUUACAUAUGAAGCUAUAAAAGAAUAAGCCAAAGGCUCAAGGAGUUAACUAGAAUUAUGCACAGGUAUAGGUAAAAGUGGGUAUGAAACAAGGCUAUUACAGAAUAGUCUAUGUCAUCUCCUAAACCCAAACUCUUUAUUUUGCUUUGCACACACACCAGGUAAGUUCUAGACAUCAAAUGCACCAAGGAAUAUAUAACAACCUUACACACACAUGGCACAUGUUCGACUCAAGUAGGAUCAUCAUAUACUCUCCACCAAACAAUAGCAUGAAUUCAAAAUUAAUCCAACAAGUACAAGAGUCAUAAACUAGAACCUAGGAGUCUCAAACUUAGUAAUUCACACAAUCAACAUGCAUGAUUUUUACAAACAACACCACUUACAUUAUGUAAUCAUCCAUAGCACCAACAAGAACAUCUCACUUAUCCUACACAAAAAUUUUAAAUGUACUCCUAAAAAAAAAUUUGGGCUCAAGGAGCGCCCCAGUGGAAAAGAAAAACCACUAGGUAGGUGAAGUAUGCACCUACCAAACUGACCCAAAGAACUAAACACUAAAAAGAGAAAACAUUUUUGUAAUUUUUUUCAGAUUUAACCAAAAAUUAGAAAAACAACUAAGACUCAAGACCCUACAGCAUCACUUCACCCAAAACAAUGGAAAUUUCUCCACCCCAAGCAUAAAAAUCUACUUUGUCCCUAAAGCAAAAUUAAAAGUAGGAAUAGAAAUAUUCCCUGAGGCCUCUAGACCUAGAUAAUAGCAUCUUUAUACAUCAAGAGGGUCUGGGGACUCCACACUUAGUCUUAGUCAUACUCCUUAGCUCAGAUUUUCGAUAUUUAGACUUUCCAUCAACCUGUGACUAAACAAAAACAAAAACUAAGUGAAGUAAAAAUUAAAAAUACGAGAAAAAUACCUACUUUAACUUGGUAAUUUAGUGUCACGGCACGACCCACAUCAACUUUUUCCUCCACUUAAGGAUAUGAAUUCACCCCAAUCUUGCAUCCAUUUUUUUCCUCACUCAUAUGAUGGUGGUACAAAUAUGAAGAAACCGAAUAAUGAAUGGUGUAAGGUAAAACACUCAGCCUUGAAUUGAGGCAUGUUUUUCUGUUGCUUAUCUGGUGAAAAUUUAUGAAUAUGGGAUUCUUAUUCCUCAUCUUCACACUCUUCCACUAUUUUAGAUAACUCUAAAUACAUGUCAUCAUCUAAACAUAAUGUAGAAAAGUUCUUUGAAUGAGACCCAACCAAUCCCACAUCAAAAUCUACACCAUCCACAACACACUUACUCUUAUUCACCUUCUAUAUGUCAGUCUCAAGAAAAAAAGGACAGCUGAAUGACUAAAUUCUUGUGGUUGCACCAUAGAUUGGCUAGUAUCCACCUCAUCAAGUGAAGGUCCCAACCAUUUGCUUUUCUGAAAAUUUAAACAAUAACUCUCUCGGUGGGAUCCCCUACAAAAACAACAAGAAUCAUUAUCACUCACAAACCAUCUAUCCCAGGUUGACAUAUCACGAAGUAUGACAGAAAAGUAAAAGAAAAUAAAAAGAAAAAAUACUAAACUAUUACAUCUCAUUAUAGAAAAACUAAAAAUGAGACAGUUGCCUAUUAACAAGUCCCUGGCAACGGCAUCAAAAACUUAGUGCACCCAAGUGCACAUGCAAGUGUACGUUAUUCCACCAACUAGUAAAGUGAUAUUUUUCAAGCCAAGUAUCGAUCCCACGAAGACUUGUAUUAACAACUAUCUAAUUCAAGUUUAACUAUUGAGAUUAAAUUGGUACAAAGGUAACCACAAGAAUUGAAAGUUAAAAAUAAAGUAAACAAACAAUACAGUAAAUUAAAGGUCUUGGACAAUCAAUAGGGAGAAACCCAGGGUUAAAGAUCUGCGAACAAUCAUACUCUGCUAUUGAACCUCAUUGGUUAGGUUACUUAUCUUGGUUGUUGAUUCACAGUGUUGAUAUUCUAACUAUGGUCUUUCGAGCCUCUAAUCACCUAUUUAACUUAGACCCACAACUACAUCGUUGAGUGGAGAUGUGAGAACUAAGUUAAAUGCAUUCAUAUUUCAUACCAUAAGUGAAUCAAAUAGGGAAUUUAGGUAUAUUCCUAUCCUAAAUACAAAUUAUAACUUCAUUCUGUAGAAGAUUACAAUCCUAUUCUAUUUACCCCACGUUCUAUCCUCUUGUUCCUAUUUUCGAACUCACAAGAUGACAACGGAUGUAUUCUAAGGGUCGUAAAUCCUUAAAGUGGUAAUAAAAAGGUUAAAUAAAUAAUAAAAUGUUAUAAAUAAUUAAAACCAAAUCAGUUCAUACCAAGAGUAAUCAUUUUCUUGGUCUUAACCCCGGAAAAGGACUAUUAGCCGCUCAUGGACAUAACUGUAAUCGCAAUGAUUGAAUACAUGUUAAAAUUCAUAAACAACCGACAUAAUGGAAGAAAAUACCUAAUUUAAGUGUUCUCCAUCCCCCUCAAAGCUUCAAGGUCGUCCAAGGUGUGUAACAUAAUGCUUAAGGGUCCUAUUUAUAGGAUGUUACAAGUUGUUGAUUUUAACAUAGCGGCGUGUCACGCCCUUAUCAUAGUGAGCUAAUGGAAUUGACUUCCUAGGAUACACCAAAGUCCAUGGAACUUCCCUAAAGAAGUGCCUAAGGUCUGUGUCACAUUAAUGACUCCAAAACGUCCGUUUUGGUUAAAUCUUAUCCCGUGUAUUUGUCCAUCCUUUCCAAGACUUGUGGUAUUGUUUUCACUUGAUUUUUAGCUUGUGUAUCAUCCAUAUGUAAUCAUGAUCAAAUCACCAAGCAUCAUAUAUCAUCAAACACCACGUAUUAGAGAUCCAAAUGAUAUACAAUUCAAGAUGAUGAACUAGAAACUUAAGCUAAGAAGACUAGUUUUGUCCUUUUAAUCUUUAACUUAUUGUUUUGUCUCUUGACUUGUUUCAAUUGAACCUUAAACACUAUAAAUAAGUUAUUCCACUCAUAAUUACACAAUCAUACCCUUAGGACCUCAUUACACACACUAGAAUUCAUCGAGAUCAACUAGGACAACACAUAGCUCAAGCUAGUAAUAUUAGUUUUCUCGUCAAAACUCUAAGUGACCAAAUUAAUUCCAAACUUAUUUGAAACACACCUUAAACAUUGUAAUCAAGUAUUUUAAUACUUAGAUGCACAAUUAUAAAAAAAAAUCUCAUUAAGUACAAGAGAAGUCCUCAAAAUAAGGCUAAAUAAGUUCGGAUAACAACAUUGAGGUGCAUAAAUCCACCUUAGAUCAACCUUAUUCUGAUCCUUGAUCAAGAAGGAAAUGCAAUGUAAACUGCUUGAUUUCAUAUCUUCCUCAAUAGCAACAUGAAAUUGUUUGAUCGAACUUUUUUGGGGACCAAACCAAUUUUAAUUGAAAAAGGAUCUUUGAUAUAAGAAAUUAACCAAAAAGUUUAAUAACAAUUUAAAAUUUUGCCUUUUUGUUUUUUCAAAGGUCUUUUGCUUUUUGGGGGAGGGGGAACAAGUCUAUUUUAAUCGAAAAAGAAUUUUUGUGCAGGAAAUGCACCAUAAUAAGAAAACUAUUUUUAUUUAAAUUUAAUAUAUUUAUUAUAUUUAAUAUCACGUGAAAAGACUAUUUUAUCUAAAACAAAAAAAUUUAAUGAAGGGCAAAAAAAUUCAAACAACAUUUCUAAAAUCCUUCCACUUUUAAUAUAUUAAAAAUUAGAGAUUAAAGAUUAUUAAUUUUUUAAUACAUAAUGACUUAUAAUAAUUAAUUAAAAAUAAAAUAUUAUUAAGUAUUUAAUGUAUAAAUAACUUAUAAUGACUAAUUAAAAGUCAUAUAGCAGCAACUUCAUAAGUAGAGAGACUGUUUUCGAUGUUCGAGUGAUAUUAAAAAUUUUAAAAAAAAAAAGAAAAUGCACAGCAAAUAUGUGCAACGAAAUGGUGACAACGUUUCUUUUACCAAAAAACACUUAUUUUUGUUUUAAUCUUAAAUGUUGUCAAAAAAAAUAUUUCAUUUGUCAAGAAGUUUUUUAUCAUAUUUUCAUAAAAUUCAACGUUUCUUUUACCAAAGUGUUUAUAAUUUGUUUGUCACUUUUUAUGCUCUUUGACUAAUUCCCCUUCAUCAAAUUCAAAAUUCUCUCUACUGAAUGUUGGACCCUCAAUUUUCUGAAAGUACACCCACACCAUCGGAGCCCCCAGAUCCGAUGGCAAUCGAAAUCCCCAGCAUCUUAAAUUCCAUUACACCGACAAAUAGCUUCAAGGACAUGCUACUGAACAAAGCCAAUGAUCUCAACAAAUGCUAUACCCACUUCAACGUAAAAGAACCAAGGACCCUUUCGGAAGAAGAUGAAGAGUCAAUCCAUUUAUCAGAUGAAGAAAAGCAUCAGAUAUACCGACCUUGGCGAUUCUCAGUGAUCAUAAAGCUGACAAACAAAUGUCUAGCACACAAUUACUUGAGAAUCAAACUAAUAGACCUUUGGAAACUCACUGAGCCACUGAUUCUCAUCGACUUUGAUUGUGACUACUACAUAGCAAAAUUCAAUAAACCUAAGAACUCGACAAAAGCUCUACAUGGAGUCCUUGGUUCAUAGCAGGGAGCUUUUUGAGAGUAAGGCAAUGGGAGUCAAACUUCAUACUAGAGGAGGCAUCACAAAUGCACACAGCAAUUUGGCUCAGAUUACCCCAAUUAGCCACAAAGUUCUAUGACCACAGCGUACUGGAGAAAAUAGGAUCCAAACUAGGUAUGAUGCUGAAGAUAGACACAUGCACUUCUUUCACACUCAGAGAAAGAUAUGCUAGAGCGUGUAUCCAAGUUCCCCUGGGUAUACCUCUGAAAAGUCAUAUCUGCAUAGGCCACCACAAGCAUAAGGUGGUAUAUGAAGGAGAUGGUUUUCUUUUUAUAAGUUAUGGCCGCCUAGGACACAUCAAAAAACUAUGCCCACACACAGCUUUAAGCACCACCACAAUCACAGAGCAAUCACCUCCAAAAAUUGAUACAUCAAAUGAAGACAGUAAAGGAUAGCAAGUGGUAUCCUUCCCAAAAAAUAAAAGGCAACCCAAAUUCCAAACGAUUGCCAGCAAACCAUGGGUGCAAGGAAGUGCCCACUGGAGAAUACCAGCAGGUAAGACGCACAGAUGACGGCUCAGGUUAGACUCGAAACUUAUAAAACACUGCCAAUGGCACAGGCAAAAUAGCCCCCGAAAAUAUUUUGCCUUCUCAAGCACAAAGAAAAGGGAAAAUGAAAUGGAAACUAGGUCAACUAGUACACGCAAAAAAGUUGUUGCUACUAGUCCCUCUUCUGAAGUCAAACCCCUCACCAUCCUCAUGGGCCUAAUAUUAAUCACCACAACAACCCAUAUAUUUUUAAUAAAUGUCACCAAACUGGUUCUUAAAUAACUUUUAAUAAUAAUAAAGGGGAAAAGAGGGCCCACCUCCUACUAACACUGAUGAGGGUCCAAUGGAGACCUUCGUCUCUACAGCUUCUGUGGUGGUAACCAACGCUAAGAGUAGGGAUAAUCAUCACUUAAAGAUGAUUGACAUGACCGACGCGGUCAUGUCCAUUAACUCCUCACCUCCUUUUAUCCCCAAAUGGAGCAACAAUGAAGCUCCUAUUAAUUCUAACCACCCUAAGACCACCCAACCUACUAAUGGCAACUCUACCAAUGCUAAAGGAACCUCUCCUAUUCGUUUUAGCACUACUCCCACCCAAUAGAGUACCGACAUCAUGGGCAAAGUUGGCAUUCAAAGGGAAGACCAUCUCUUAUUGCAUCAUAGUGGGGGGACUAACCCAUUGUGCUAAUGAUUCAAGACCCUGCCUGAAUGGCCAAAAUCAUCAAGGACGGGGUAGAUUAUAUAGUACAAGGGUUGGGUUACCAGGCGUGGACUCACACAAUGACAUAAACACAAAUGAUGGGUACUGAAUGUGAUUAAUACCCAUGAGUUCAACUCUUGGAUGACCUACAUAUUCAAGAGUUUGCCUUAUUAUCUAGAGACUCCUUACCUCUCGUAUAUGGACAGCUUAACCUUUGUACCAUGGAUACCUCCAACUCCUCAAGGGUUGACUAAUCCAAACAAUGCUUAAGCCACCGAGGAAACCGAAAGGGUAGAAGACCCAGAAAAAGCACAACCAUCCUUACUAGAGGAACUUCAGAAAAUAAAUGCAGAACUGGAGCAUUUCUUGGAAACCUUUGAAGAACCCAAUAUAGACUUCUUCAUGCUCAAAAAUCCACUUUAAAAAGAGUACUCAGAGUCAUUCAGCACAAUUACUAUAGUACUCUAUCACGGGGGAAUAAAAACCUUCAAGCUGAUGGUGAGGAACAUGAACAGUCAGGGGAAUGCAGCAGUCUCUCUAAGUCCAUAUUUGGUACAAGGGAAAAUGACAAGGCAACCAACCCAACUGACUCUAUGAAUUUUAUAAUUUGGAACACAAGGGGGGUCAAUAGUGAUAGCUUUAGAAGACACUACAUUGAUCUUGUUAAAAAUCAUAACCCCAUGGUUGUAGUACUAUUAGAAACUAAGAUGGUGGAUCACAAAAACCUUACUGAGAUGCUCAAGUUCGACUCACAUUUUGAAUCUAGUGUUGAGGGUUGAAAGGGUGGGAUUGUUAUAAUGUGGAAGGAGGAAGCUGUCAAGAUCCAAAAUUUCUGUAUAUCUUCUCUAGGUAUUCACACUAUAAUCAAGGUAAGGACUAAUCCCAGGCCCUAGUUAUUUUCUGCUAUAUAUGCUAGUCCUGACCCCAGCAUUCGAACCACCCUUUGGGAGGAAUUACGCCAAAUAUGCUCCAUUCACAAAGGGGAUUGGUUAAUUGGUGGGGACUUUAAUAAAGUUCUUACAGCCAAUGAAAAGCUUAGAGGGGCUCCCAUCAACAUUACUAGAACUAGCAAGUUUUGGGACUGCUUUAACUUUCAUAACAUGGUGGACCUAGGCUUUCGAGGUCCAAAAUAUACCUGGGCCAAUAGGAGACAUCGUAAUAGAACUACUUUAAUCUAGGAAAUACUUGACAGGUGUGUUGUCAAUGAAUCUUGGAUAAAUCUACUUAAGUGUGAGAAAGAUUUCUGGAGAACCAGAUCCAGAAUAACCUGGCUCACAGAUGGUGAUGCAAAUACUUCUUUCUUUCAUGCAUCCACUAUUAAUAGAAAGGGAAGGAACAAAAUCAAUGAACUCAGGGAUGAAGUGGGUAAUGUCUAUAGAAAGAAAGACAGUAUAGUGAAUCAUGUCAUGCAAUAUUUCACCAGUUUGUAUACUACUAGCCAUGUUAGCUCCCCCAACAGUUACUUUGUCCCUACAAACCAUAACAUAAGGAUCAAUGAUAGCAUGUAUAAUAGUCUUGCAGCCCCCCUAAGGGACUCAGAGAUCAUGCUAACCAUCAAAUUCUUUUGAACCCUUGAAAUCUCCUGGGCCUGAUGGUCUUCAUACUUUUUUUUCAGAAGUAUUGGACUGAUAUUGGCCAAAAGACUAUAUUCUUCUGUAAAAAGGUCUUCUCUGAGAAUGUUAUGCCUGCUGAUAACAACAAAACUCUUAUUUUCCUCAUUCCUAGGAGUAGAAAUGUUGAUACCCUCAGAAACUUCAGGCCUAUUGGCCUGUACAAUACCAGCUACAAAAUUAUUACCAAAAUCAUUGCUAACAAAAUCAAGCCUAUCUUGCAAUAUAUCAUCAGCCCCACCCAGGACAGUUUCCUGGCCAACAGAAGGGUUGUUGAUCAAGCCAUCAUCAUUCAAGAAUACAUUACUCACUUGAAUAACAUGAAAGGUAAAGAGGCUAACAUAAUCAUUAAAAUUGACUUCGAGAAAGCUUUUGAUAAGCUUGAAUGGGCCAAAGAUACAUUUCUCUUCUUUUGUUUCCCUAGGAACCUUACUAACCUGAUCCUUUCCUGCAUUACCUCCACCUCUAUAGUUGUGAUAGUCAAUGGUAGGAGAGCUGACUUCUUCAAUACCUCUAGAGGUAUUAGGCAGAGGGAUCCAAUCUCUUCCUACAUCUUCAUCAUGUGCCUAAAAAAAAUGUCAAGGGGUAUACAAGCUGAGGUACAUGCUAAGACUUGGACUCCUAUCAUUAUCUACCCCAGAGGUCCCAAGCUCUCCCACUUGUUCUUUGCAGACGACCUCACUCUGCUGGAAAAAGCUACCCCUACAAACUGCCAGACCAUAGCUACUAUUUUAGACACCUUCAACAAACUCUCAGGACAAACCAUCAAUCAUCUCAAGUCCAAAGUCAUCUACUCUAAAAAUUACUCCUCUUUAUUGGACAACCAGUGUUGCCAGAUCCUCCAUAUCCAGUCAAGCCCCUCUUUUGGUAGAUAUCUUGGGUUUCCUAUCUUAUCCAAAAAAACCCAGGAAUAGUGUCUUUCAGUUUAUCAUUGAUAACAUGCAUACCAGCUUGCUGGUUGGAAAACCAAUCUCCUGAAUAUGGCUGGAAGAACUGUCCUAACCAAAUCUACCCUCAGUGCCAUGCCUACCCAUAUCAUGCAGUAUAUUAGAAUUCCCAAUAAAGUCACUGAGACUUGCAAUAAAAUCCAAAGAGACUUUGUCUGGGGUAGCAGCCCUGACAAAAAAAUUUCACCUUCUUAACUAGGAUGUCCUAACCUUUGAAAAAAGGCAUGGUGGGAUGGGCCUCCAUAAGACUAAGCUCAGGAAUAAGGCUCUACAUGCUAGCCUUGCUUGGAGGUUGUUCCACCAACGCACAACCUUGUGGGGACAAGUUCUUCUAACCAAAUACAAUAAGCCCCUUAGAAAGCCAGGCACUAACUAGUACAACUCCGAGACCUGGAAAAACAUCAGGAGAGGCUGGGUUGAUUGCUUCUUGGGGAUAAGAUGGAGAGUGGGAAAGGGGGAUAGGGUUAAUUUCCUCCAAGAUACUUGGAUUCCCCACCUAGGUAGCCUUAGAACCAUUAUUCAUGAUCCCAUGAAUAAGAUGGAUUCUACUAUCAUGGUAAAGGAUAAACUUGUAAAUGGAGAGUGGCAUUUCUCUAAAAUCUCCUUUGAAAUCCCUAAGACCAUCAAAGAUACUAUCAUCGGUCACUCCACCACCCUUAACAGCAAUAGGGAAGAAAAGGUGGCCUGGAACUGUAGUACCACUGGUACCUUUACCACUGGAAGCAUGUACACAUACCUUAGGAACCUAAAAAUCACCCAUACCAGGGGAAAAACUUUGCCCUCGUCUGGAAAGCUGAUGCUCCUAACAAAACAAGGACCUUUCUCUGGUUCUUCAUGCACAACAGGAUCCCAACCAGUAGCUUCCUCAACCACAGAGGAAUUAAUAUUCCUCCUCAAUGCUAGUUCUGUAACCACAAUAAGGAAGAUAUUAACCAUACCUUCUUCUACUGUGCCAAUGCAACUCAAUUCUGGACCAAUCUUAUCCAAAAGGCCCAAUACCAGCCUACCUUCCUCCUCACCAAUAUAAGCGACACUAACUGGCACAUUUGGGGGGAUUCAUACAAAGUCAAACCUUUCAAUACUUGGCUAUCCUGGGGGUCUCUUUUACCUCAUUGUUUAAGGAAACUAUGGCUCACUAGAAAUGAUAAUCUUUUCAACAAUCACCAUAACUUGGCCAAGGUUGAUAAUGUCAUUGCUAAUGCCAUAGAGUACCAGCUCUUAGCCAACACUAAGUCUAAUCUGAGUUCCCAUCGCACUACCAUACGAUUUAAAUGGCAACUCCCCACUAAUACAGCUAUCAAGCUCAACACAGAUGGCUCUGCAAAGGAUAAUCCUAGUUCUAGUGGAAUAGAUGGGGUCUUCUGUGGGAUAAUGAGGAGUGGAUUCUUGAUUUCUACCAUCAUAUUCCACACACCACUCCCACAAUGGUUGAAUUACUUGCUAUUAGAUGUGGACUCCGUCUAGCUAGCCAAAAUAACUUCACAUCCUUAUGCAUAAAGGUGGACUCAAUGGUGGCCUUCAAAAUACUCACUACUAACCUUCCCCUUUAUCAUGGUAUUGUUUUUUAUUGCAGGAUGUUUCUAAGAGAAAUGGGAGUAGCACCUCCAACGCAGAUAUAUAGGGAACAAAAUGUUGUGGCUGAUCGUUUUGCAAAGGAAGGCACAAUCAUACCUUUUGCUAGGAAACCAGUCACCACAGCAACCCCCCACCCUUUGUACUUAAAUAUGUAUUAGAUGACUGCUCUACAAAGACUUCCCUCGUAGAAUUAAUCGAGCAAACACAGGUCAAGACAUGACAUGACUGAUACCUUUUUUUGCUCACAAGGUCGGGUUGUGACCCUGAACAAUAAUGUUUUGGCUCUUACACCUGGAAGGAGCACCAAACCCCCCCCCCCCCACACACACACAUAAUCUUCUAAUGAAAUAGUCUGUUUUCACCAAAAAAAAAAAGAAACUUAAAAAAAACAAGAAAGAGAGAGAGAGUCAAAAGCUAUUAAAAUUCAAAUAUUGAAAUUAAGGUUAGAACUAAAGUCACCUGCAAACUUGACUAUUCUUAUUAAAUGUGACUUCGACGUUGUGUUUCUUAAAAGGGAAUUGAAUACUUACUUUGAUCGCGAAAAUUAAAAAAUUUUAAUGUUGAAAUUGAAAUUUAAAGUUGUGUUCGAUCAUAAAUAUAAAUUAAAUUUAUUUUAAAUUUUUUAUGAGAAAAAGUAAACGUGAAAACUUGGCUGAAAGAAGUAAAAUUUUCAUUACUGACCCUCGUACUUUUAUCCCGAGCAUAUUAUUAAAAGAGAGGCAGCAUAUAACACAUUUAUGGUCCAUCUGAUAGAGUGCAUAAAAAUCUAUAAUAUAUAUUAAAAGUGUGAAGACUUUUAUAAAAGUGAUUUGAACUUUUUGUCCUUCAUUGAAAUACUCUGCAAUAGAUAAAAUUAUCUUUUCACCUUUUUCUUUCAAUUAUUGUCAUUUAAUAACUUUCCAUAAUUUAAUAUGUUGAAAUUAAUUAAAGUCCUUAUUUGAUUUAGGUAAGAAAUUAUAACAUUCAACACUUCUAAAUCAAUUAAAUUUUACCUUAUAUAUAAAAAAAAUAAUAUGUUGAAAUUAAUUAAAGUCCUUAUUUGAUAUAUGUAAUAAAUCGUAAUAUUCAACACUUCUAAAUUAAUUAGAAUUUUACGACGUCUUCUACGUACAAACAUAUGGCUUAUUAUGGUUUUAGGUUUGGGAGGGAAAAAAUGGCGUGUCGGCAAAAAAAAAAAGAUAUGAAAAUAGCCCUUGAAUUCAAAUUCCAUUUCUUAGCCAUUUUGGUAGUUGCGCAGCUUUCUUUGACUUUUUUUUUUUUUUAAUUUUGAUGAUUUCGUAUUUUUAAUUCACUGCUCCCUUUUUAAAAAAAUAAAAAAAAUUCUAUUAAUUUUUAAUUUUAGUAAAAAUCAUCAUGAACAUGCACCCAUAAUUAACUUUCUUCUCCAAUUAAUCAUGAACACCAAUUAAAUUUUUUUUUUCAUUUGAUCAUUCAUGCAAACAAACAACAACAGCUCCAAUUGAAAUUGAGUGUGUUUUGAGAUUUCAGGCUAAGAUUUUUUUUUUUUUGCAGCUCUUUGUUUUUUAAAAAAAAAAUAAUAUUUUCUUAAUUGUAUUAUUGUGGAACAAUAGAAUACAUAUCUACAUAUAUACAACAUAAUAUAAUAGUGUUAUAAAUAUUUCUAUACAACAAUGAUAUAGUUUCUACACACAUCAUGUACUACACACAUCAUAGACAAAAAACUAUCAUAUACUAUACCAUACUGAUACAAUCGUUAUACCAUUUUGAUACAAUCCCUAUAACCAUAUUGAUACACCCCCUAUAUCAUAUUGAUACUUAUUUAGAUACAUAUUUUAUACAAUUAUUAUACAGUUUCUAUACACAUUUUAUACAUAUACAGAUUUUAUACAACAAUGAUACAGUUUCUAUACGUCUUAUAUAUAUAGUUUCUAUACACAUUUUAUCCAACAAUUAUACAAUUUUAUACACAUUUUAUAAACAAUUAGACAGUUUCUACACACAUUUUAUACAUAUACAGAUUUUAUACAACAAUGAUACUGUUUCUAUAUACCUUUUAUAUAUAUAGUUUCUAUACUCAUUUUAUGCAAUAAUUAUACAGUUUUUAUACACAUUCUAUCCAAUCUUUAGCUGCAAUUAUUAUUCGAAUGUGUAUUCCGUACAUCAACUAUCAAUUUCUAUACAUAUUUUAUACUAUUUUAUAUAUAUAUUUUAUAGAGUUAUAUAAUUUCUAUACAUAUAUCUUAUAGAGAUACAUAUUUAUAUAACAAUUAUAUUUAAUUAUCAUUUUUUAAUAAAAAAAUAAAAUAUUUUUCAGUUAAAAAUUUUGUAGCAAAAAAUAAAAAAACUGAGUAAAGGGCCGAAUGGCCAAAGGAAAGGCCAAAAAUGGCCUAAUUAACAAAGGGAAGGACUGAAGAUGUCAAAUGACCCAAUGGCCAUAAAGUGGCAUUUCUUUUGCCGACAGGACAUUACCUGUCCAUAUGCCCAAACUUGGAUUAUUAUUUUUUUAAAAGGCUCUACAAUGUCCUUUUCCCUUUAGGUUUUCUUAGUGUGAUGUUAAUUCAAAUCGUCUUCUUGCAUUCAUACCAUCAAAUGUUCUGAGAUUAAUUUUGGUUUCAGUAAGUUAACUACUUAUGUGAUGCCAGUACACGAGAAUAUACUAAUAUAUAUAUAUAUAUAUAUAUAUAUGUGUGUGUGUGUGUGUGUGUGUGUUUUUAUACGAGAAUUUGGUAGUAUAGUGUUUGCUUAGAUAAAUUUAAUUAGUCUUUGAUGAAAAAGAUUAUCCCGAAGCUUAUUAGUCAUGUUUUAUUUUUUAAAAAAGUUCUUAAAGUUAAAACAUGAUCGGAUUCAUCCAUAUAGCGUAGGUGAAUGCCUUUAAUUAUGUCACAAUAAAGGCAAGUACCGAUGAAGCUUGUAAAAACUUGAUUUUUGAAUCAAUAAUUUUCACUUUAUACAUUAAAAUAUAUUAUUUUUAGGUUAUGAGUAUUAUUUUUGUUAUAAAACUUUAUAAGUUAGAGAGUAGCUUUUGCUAAUAGGUCUCUAGGUUUGUGAUUUUCAAGCUUUUUUUCUUCUGGGCAAAAAUCUUUUAUAUUUCGUGAAGUUAGAGGGUUGUUUUCGAAACUCAAAUAGUAUUGCAAAAUUAUUUAGUAUUUGAAUAUUUUACAUGGAUAAAUAUAUAUCGCAUUUAAGGAAUAUUAUCAAUAUCACAACAAAAGUUUUAAUCAAGAUUAUAAUUUUCUUCAUAUAUACAAUUUUCUUGUUUCAUGUGAGAUACACGUGCAAAGCACGUACGCUAAAUUAGUAGUACUAAAUAGGAUACACUAAAUUAGUAGUACUAAAUAAAAUAUAUUAGUAAUGCUGAUAUUAGUUAUAUCAAAAUUAUUCUUAUUCAAUGUUUGAUUUGAUAUAUUCAAAAAACUUUUUUUUCUUCUCCAUUCCUUUUACUAUUUUACUAAUAAUAGAAAUUAGACUGAAAAUCCUAACGCCUCAAAAAGUGAGAUGGACAAGAAAAAUAAAAAGAUUGUUAUGAUAUAUAUCAAUUAUAGUGAAUGUCUAUUAAGAUCUAUCAAGAUCUAUUUGAUGUCUAUUAAGAUUUGAUGUAUCUGUCUUUAGUGUGAAACUAGGAGCAAAUUUCCCCUAUAAAUAUAAGAGCUCCCUUCAUUGUAAAUCAAUCCUCGAGAGAAAUAAGAAUUACUCUCUGUUGACACCUAAUAUUUUUCCUCCACGACUACGUUUAAUCUCGAGUUUCUUCAAUUUUCAAAUAAAAUCACAACAAUUAUUUUUUCCAAAUAAAUGCAUUUUAAAAUAGGUAUUUGGGCUAAAUCUGUUAUUUAAGUGAUAAUUAUAUAUUUUUGUAUUUACAUAUACGAGAUUGUAUAAAUGGUGUCAUUUAAAUGAACAUUUUCAUCAAUAUCGAAUUUUAAUUAAUGAUAAUCUUUGAAAAUAAAUGUAAUCAUCAAAAUCUUGAUUUAAAUAUAAAUUAUUCUCAAAAAUAAUUUAUUUGGAUAAAUAUGUGCUUGAUUUUAUCGAAUCAAGAAGCUUGGGAUUAAGUGAGGUAUUAAUUUAUAUCGAAUUUCGGUUUAAUUUGGCCAAUCUAUUAAAUUUGGCUAUAAGUGAAAUCAAAUUGGCCUCAAUUGCAAUGCAAUUGGCUAAUUGAUUUUCAAUUUGGCUAAAAUUUAAACGGAUUCAGCUAAUUCUUAAUUCAAUUGGGGUUAUUUAUUAAAUAAUCCCAAUCUUGAACCAAUUAAUUUAAUCCCAUUAACAGGCCCAAAAGAAACCAAAACCAAUCCAAGCCCAAUUUUAAGACCAACCAGCAACCCACCUCCUUUUCUUUUAAUGUUACCAGCCUAGUACCCUCACCAAUCCGGCCCAUUUCCUUCUUUUCAAUAGCAGAAACAACAGCUUGAAUGAUGAAGAACAGUCCCAAAUCGCGACAACACCAACAAACCCUUCGAACAACAUCCAUCACCCGAUACCGAGUAAUCCGAACUUGGAAACCCACCGACCCGGUAAACCUAACCCGAUAAACUUUCCUCUCAACGUCUCUGUAUUCCCAGAACGAGACAAGAACAUCGAAUGUUCUAGGGAAUGCUAUGUGUUACCUUCAAAUGCAUUCCUCAAAUACUAACCGUUGGGAGAUUCUAAAUUUCUCAACAAAUUUGUACGAAUAGUAUACAGCUCACUCUCUUAUCCUCUUUUCAAAAUCCCAAAAUUACCCCAGAUUUAAAUUCAUUCCACAUCGUUAAAUCUGGAAACGAACCCUAGCUCAUUAUCUAUAUAAAGCCGAUUUUAGGAGCAAACAAGAGGGGGUGGGAAUUUGGAGUUCAAAAAUUUUAGGUUGGGAAAUUCGGGUUGAAAAUUUUGGGGGUCAAAAAGUUGUUAGUCUCAAAAGAGAGAAAAAUUUCCUGGUUUCUACGGAGGUUCGAAAACUCUCAGGUUAAGAAUUUUAGGGAUUUUUUGGAGGGGGGCUUUGAAAAUUGGGAGUUAGAGAUUGGAGGGUUCGGAAUUUUGGGCUGAGAAAAUUCUAGGGGUUCUUUUUUCUCUACUUUCAGAAGGAUUUUCUUUUGGAUUGGAAAUCCUAGGGUUCAAAAGAUUCAAAAAUUGGGAGCUCUUUGGAGGUUCAAAAAUUGUCUGAGAAAGUUGGGAGGAAAACUUUCUUUGGGGGUUUGAAAAAAUUCUCGGAUUAGAAAAUUUGGGGUCUUCAUAAAAACUGAGAGUUGAAGGGUAGAGAAUUUUUUUUUGUUUUCUUUGGUUCUGAAAGACUGAUUCGAAAGAAGAUGCUACAAGGUUUCUAGUUUCUCGGUGGUGGUCGGAAUCCUAUCAUCAACUCGUUGUCCCGUUUUGCUGCCACGAAGGAGGUAAACACACGUUGGUCCCUUUUAAUUCCGUUGUUUCCUACUUCAUCCCCUCUUUCUUCGUAAAAGCAGUUAUUUGUUUAUCAUGAAUAAGGCUGGGAUUGUUUGCUGUGGUUGGCUAUGAUGUCCUUAGGAUGUGUUUGUGACUACUGUUAUGCUAUUUGCUGAAUCAGUGUUCAUGUCAAAAAUUUUAAUGCGAUUACGUUGAAUAUACUACCUCUUAAUAGAUGUUGGUGAUUAUCUGUGAGUUUGUAGUACAAAUCAUCACAUAUAUCGUUGAAACUUCGCUUUUCGUUUCUGGUUUAUUAUCUCGAUUCAGUUUUUCCUAUUGAUUAGGCCACUGUCCAUGAUUAAUUUGAUGUCAUGAGUAUCAAAAGUUGUUUUGAUUUGUUAUUCGAGUUCAAUCUCUAAAUUCAUGUUUAGUUUUGAUUAGGAAACCAUUUUAGCAUCAAAAAUUAUGUCAUGUUUAUACUUGAAUAUCGUGGCUUGACGCGCGAUAGUUUUAGCUAGAUAUUCCGCUUUAGUCUCGAUGCUCUGUUUAGUCUAUGGUGUUCUCAACUUGAUUAUCUAUCCUCAUGUUUAGUUUGGCUCUCAACGUAAGGUAAUUAGUAGCUAGGUCGUUAGGUCUCAGGAUAAUUUGUCCCUCUUAGGUGAUAUUUCAUUAAUUAACCCGAGAUUCCGUCAUAUCUUGUUGUAUUUAUAGAGUGUUUACUCAUGUUCAAAAAUUUGAAUGUUUUCCCCUGUUUUGAUAAAGUGUUGAUCUCAAAUCAUUUUCAUUUAUUGUUUAAUGUACAUGUUAUAUGUGCUUGACUGCCUUUGAAGUUUCUGGUGUGUCCAUGCUUGUAGAAUUAUUUUAUAUUAGGUUGAAAAUCAAGUGAUCUACUACACAGAAGUUGUUUGCAUUUAUCCCUUCAGUUAUUGUCCAACAUUUUUUCAUAUCAUCAAAGUUUUCAAACCAUGUUAAACCUCUAUUUAGCUAAUGUUGUUUUCCUGGUCAUUUCCUCAUUUCCUAUUUCCUACUUUGGUGAUCUACAUGACGCUUCUUUAUCUAUGCAUGAUUCCUUUAUAACGAUAGCUUUGUUUUCUUUUACUGUCAUUGGAUCCUAAUCCUUACCCUUUUUCUCUACAUGUACUAUUUGUUUUGAAUCCAAAAAUGGGUUCAAUUUCUCGCUGCAUUUUCUUCACGGCCAUUGAGGCCCGUCAUCUCCAUCGAUUCAAUUCUUAGUGAAAGUUCAACAUCAAUCUCGUGACACAAUGAAUAUAGGGAGUCGAAAGAAGAAGAAAUGGGUUAAAGUCCCAUUCUUGAAGCGGC